rnacentral:lncRNA from 1 species
UUUUUGACAGGUAUAAGUUUCCCUUAAUAAUUGACAACUCUCGAUUAAUUUCAUUUUACGUAUGCAAAAAUAUAUUUACUAAAAUAUUUCAGAAAUUCAUUAAAACCAUUCAUUCUAAUUGAGAAACUGAAUAAUGACAUCAAGCUUGUGUCACCAAAAAUUGAUGGGCCUGAUAAGUGGGCCGUUAAGAUGUCUAUGGGCCCAUUAAGCCCACGGGAUGAGAGAAAGCCGAGGGGCCCAAUAAAAGUGGCCGACUCUUGAGUCAUGACAUCAAGAUCGCCACUAGGGCAAUCGUGAUGUGGAAAUCGGACGGUCCACAUUGGCGGGUUUUAGAGUCCGGUUGCCUAAUCAUCAAAUCUUGAAAGGCCAGAUCGGUAGGGUCCACUUGGAAUUAUUGAUACUACUAAUUAAAGGAAAAUGAAAAGGAAAGUGGGAGAGCUUUUUAAUUCACUUUUUUAUAUAUAUAAAAAAAGAUUGGUAAAUUUUUUUUUGUUAAUCUACGUUUUAAAGAAAAGUUGUCGAAAAUAAUAAAUUUGAUAAAAUAAAACAAAAUUUUAG